GUCUUUGUAGGUGACCUGCGGAGGGUCAUUACACAAAUAUGAAGGCGGGCUGGAACCUCUCGGGGUUACAGCCUUGCUGAAUUAUUCACCCUUGUCUUUUGCGUACUUCUUGUUUCCUUGGUGGGUUCGCCCACCACUAGGACAAACAUAAACCUUUUGUAAUUGCAAUCAGCGUCAGUAACAAAUUAAUAAUUACAACUUUCAACAACGGAUCUCUUGGUUCUGGCAUCGAUGAAGAACGCAGCGAAAUGCGAUAAGUAGUGUGAAUUGCAGAAUUCAGUGAAUCAUCGAAUCUUUGAACGCACAUUGCGCCCUUUGGUAUUCCAAAGGGCAUGCCUGUUCGAGCGUCAUUUGUACCCUCAAGCUUUGCUUGGUGUUGGGCGUCUUGUCUCUAGCUUUGCUGGAGACUCGCCUUAAAGUAAUUGGCAGCCGGCCUACUGGUUUCGGAGCGCAGCACAAGUCGCACUCUCUAUCAGCAAAGGUCUAGCAUCCAUUAAGCCUUUUUUUCAACUUUUGACCUCGGAUCAGGUAGGGAUACCCGCUGAACUUAA
rnacentral:rRNA from 1 species